GCCGCACACGCGCAGCCGCACGACGUGAGGCGGCUCGCCUCAGACGGAGGCUCUUCUUGCCCCUGUGCUGUGGGAGGACGAGCACAAGCUGGGAAGGAUGUCUUUGCUGCCAGCGCCCCGCAGGGAAGUCUUAUUUCCAGGAUCUCUCUGUAUCACCUUUGGGAACAAGUGUCACACUGGAUCACAGAGAAUGGGAUGUUCAGGAGGAGUCACAGGUGGCAGCUGACAGCCGUCUUCAAACCUUUCAAGCUGUCACAUGAAAGAGGAAUUCAACUUGCCCUGUGUGGCUCCAGAAGGCAAAACAACAGAUCAUUCAUCCAGGACAUGCUGUGUCUAUGGUUGGCAUCGUCUCAUUUUUGAAAUGAUAAAAUGCACAUAAAAGUCUCUUGACCAU